rnacentral:rRNA from 1 species
GAGCAGAGGUGCCGAGCGUAGGCGGAAUCACUGGGGCUUAAAGCGUGUGUAGGCGGACGGGUAAGUACCUUGUGAAAUCCCACGGCUCAACCGUGGAACUGCUGGGUAUACUGCCUGUCUUGAGUCAUCUAGGGGCGAGCGGAACAAAUGGUGGAGCGGUGAAAUGCGUAGAUAUCAUUUGGAACGCCAUGGUGAAAACAGCUCGCUGGGGAUGAUACUGA